GCCGCGUGACUUUCCUGUCUUCACUCUUCCGACAAAGCAGACCAGCUAAAAGCUCGGGUGUCCGUUCACCCUGGGAUUGCACCAGGCUGCACUGCCCGCGAUCGAAUCUCUGGGACCCCACGGACUCGGUGAGGGCGAGUCUGUCGUCAUCGCUCCGUUUUCUGGAUGAGGAACACUGAGGCACAGCGAUGCUAACUAGGAGGACUGGAAUGUGGUGCAUGGCCGCUGAGACCCGUCACCUGCUCCUGCUUCCUGGUUGUCUGGGAAGGGAAGGAUGAGGGCAGGUCGUGGCGGCCCUGUGAUAACAUUGGCUCCGUCAGGACCGGGAUGUGAUCUGUUUUGUCCCCUGCUGGGUCCCCAGAGUUUACAACGAUGCCCGGCACAGAGUAGGGGCUCAAAAAAAGCGGUUGUUGGAUGACUAUAAAUAGCAAGAAUCUCAUUCUAUCAUCA